GCCAGGCGGUCAGCAGCUGCAGCGGAGGAGGAGGAGGAGGAGGCGGCAGCAGCGUGCGGGUCUCUACGGUGGUGCUCGCCUUGCAGAGAAAGACGCGGCCAUACGCAUAGCGUCGGAGCGGAUCUGAAUCAGCCUCCCUCCUCCACCUGCUCUCUGUUGGCUUGUAACCGUCUACAAGUGGCCGCGGAAACGAGGGAGAGGUGCGUGCGCGGCAGAACACCUGCUGAAUAUCCCCGGCGUUCAGGUGAUGGCAUCGCUGUGUUCAUCCCUCUCCUCCGGUUGCCCUUGGCGACGGCGAGGAAGACAGGCGAAAGGAUGGCUAGGAGGAUGAUAUUUAUGUUUUUUUUUUCCCCCGUAAAAACAUGUCGAUAAACACCUUUUUACGUUAAAUAAAUCAGAAAAAAAGGACAAAUUCAUUUAAAUAAAAUUGCCUGAUCUAAUUGCAA